AGCUCCAAUAGCGUAUAUUAAAGUUGUUGCAGUUAAAAAGCUCGUAGUUGGAUUUCUGGCGUGCGACGGGCUCCCUUCACUAAGGUGUGGGUGUUGCACGUUGUUGCCAUCUUUGGGUGGAAUCUGUGUGGCAUUAGGUUGUCGUGCAGGGGAUGCCCAUCGUUUACUGUGAAAAAAUUAGAGUGUUCAAAGCAGGCUUACGCCGUUGAAUAUAUUAGCAUGGAAUAAUAAGAUAGGACCUUGGUACUAUUUUGUUGGUUUGCGCACCGAGGUAAUGAUUAACAGGAACAGUUGGGGGUAUUCGUAUUUCAUUGUCAGAGGUGAAAUUCUUGGAUUUUUGAAAGACGAACUACUGCGAAAGCAUUUACCAAGGAUGUUUUCAUUAAUCAAGAACGAAAGU
rnacentral:rRNA from 1 species